rnacentral:rRNA from 1 species
GUGGGGAAUCUUGCGCAAUGGGCGAAAGCCUGACGCAGCCAUGCCGCGUGCAGGAAGAAGGCGCUACGCGUUGUAAACUGCUUUUAACCGGGAAGAAACCCCAGGACGUGUCCUGGGUUGACGGUACCGGAGGAAUAAGCACCGGCUAACUUCGUGCCAGCAGCCGCGGUAAUACGAAGGGUGCAAGCGUUAUCCGGAUUCAUUGGGUUUAAAGGGUGCGUAGGCGGAGCGUUAAGUCAGUGGUGAAAUCCUGCAGCUUAACUGUAGACUUGCCAUUGAUACUGGCGCUCUUGAGUGCGCUUGAAGUGGGCGGAAUGUGCCGUGUAGCGGUGAAAUGCUUAGAUAUGGCACAGAACACCAAUUGCGAAGGCAGCUCACUAAGGCGAUACUGACGCUGAGGCACGAAAGCGUGGGGAUCGAACAGGAUUUGAUACCCCAGUAGUCC